UGGACACAUGACUGUAAGUCACUUUGGAUAAAAGCGUCUGCUUAAUGUAUUUUA
rfam:Salmo salar isolate Sally breed double haploid chromosome ssa27, whole genome shotgun sequence.